UGAGACAGAUAGAGUCAAGGAAGAUACACACUUGACUGAGAAGAAGAGAUAUAUACGCAACCGGAGCAAUUUCUUGUUUUGGUGAGCUCAAGCUUCCGGCCAGUCAAUCUCUAAUAUACACUCUCGGUUUUUGGGGGCUACUGAGAAAAGAAGCUGAGAAAAGAAGAAGAAGAAGAUUCAUUCUGGGAUAUGAACAGUCGCGAACCAAUCACACAAAGCCAGAGCUAUAUUCUGAUUGUCAACCAUUUCUGACAUCGCCGUCCCCACCAUUGCCAAUCGAAGCUCUACUUUCCUGGCCCGUUUACAUUUGCGCUGGCUGUUGAUUGAGAAAUGUCAUGUGAUGACAAGUGGUGGUCGGCAAAGAUUCUUGAUGGCCGGAAUCAAUGAUCGGAAUAACUGCCUAGUGGUCCAGAGAAAUGUUGAUGGCUGGAAGUUGUGGCUGGCAGCAGUGGAGAGGGAAGAAAACUAGCAAAUUGCGACUCUAAAGGAUUGUGAUAUUUUGAUUUCCAAUUGCAAGUUGUGAUUAAAGACCAUCUCAUCAAGCCAUUUAGACUUCUAAUAUAGACUCUAGAAGUAGCAAAUACUAGCAUAAAUGCACAUCUUGUUUGCCUUUUCUCACAUGCUAUGCUUAAUCCCAUUUCGUAUCAUUUAUUGACAGUACAAAUGUAUUCAUGGGCAGAGCAUUCCUUGUGAAUUUAUAAAGACAUACUGUCAAGAAAACCAGCAAAUUGUGACUCUCAAGGACUCGGACACAUUGUGGCAGUGCAGGUUAGGAAAAAUAGUCUAAAUGUCCAAGAGCCCUCUUGAGCAGCUUUUUAAUGGUUCCACGUGCCCGAGGCCUCUCACUGCCCUUGAUAAGCUUAGAGAAUUUAAAUCGGCGGUAUCCCUUAUUCCAAACGGUGACUAACUUGGUACUUUCUCUGGCUGCCUAGGCUGGGGAAGAAGAGGCGACACAAAAUGUCCAACUUAAGUAGUACAACAGGCCUAGGCUUGGGAUUACUGAGCUCGCUAUAACAGCACAGCAACACGAGUUGGAUAUUGCUCCCCUGCAACAGCUGGCUCACGAGAGCUAUUGCAAGCAGGUUCAAACUUAUGAUUGGAAAUGAAGAAAAUGUGGUUCGACUCUAGGCCUUAAAAAUUAGU